AUCACUCAGCUGUUUUGGCCAUAAAUUCCCGCGAGCCGGAGAGGAGAGAGCUCAGCUCGCACGAACGUAAACAGGCACGGGGACCGGAGAGGCAUGGAAACGAUCCCAAUCAUCUUCACGAGCCGGCGGCGGAGAAGUGGUGCACCUGUUCCUCGAGGUCCAGGUGAGUUUCAGACGCAGGAGGGUGGAUCAACAGGCUCCGCACGCCGCUCGGAUGAACCGGUGAGGCUGCUGAGAGCGCAGACACACUGAGCUCAGACACGUUUAUCCACUAGAUGGUGGACUACAGCUGCGUACCUGACGCCCAGCGGGGCUCAGAGGAGAGGGGACCGCCGUUUCACCUUCACCUCCGUAUGACCGGGUCAUUCUGUGGAGACAUGUUUCUGUCCUCAGACUGUGCAGAAAGAUUUUAUAAAACAUUUGAUCAUAAUUUAUGCUUCUUGUUUAUGUUUCACAAUAAAACAAGAGGUUAUUUGAGCUCUCACUGCCUCUUGGGGCAUCAA